rnacentral:sRNA from 1 species
AUUCUGCCCAUGCGGGGAAGGAUGAGAAGCUUCGACCAAGGUUCGACUCGAGCCCAGCGAGAGAGCGUUGCCGCAGGCAACGACCCGAAGGGCGAAGCGCGCAGCGCUGAGUAAUCCUUCCCCCACCACCA